rnacentral:piRNA from 1 species
UAAAGUUUAGCGGGCCUCUGCCAUUG